AUGUGUGAUGUCACCACUCUCGCUUCUGUCCGCCCCCCUCCUGCACCUCCUGAUCCAGCAGCUGUUCCUCCUCCGGUUCCUGUCGCAGCCCCCCCUCCCUCCUCACUACCCCUCCCUCUCCCGCCCCCUAUGCGUGCCAGCAGCCUGCGCGUGUUGAGUGUCUCCAGGUUGAAGUGCACGGUCUUCUUGUCCUUGGCUUCUAGCGCCUCGGCUGCCUGCUUGGCUGCGCGGCUGCUCUCGUUGUUCCAGCGGGCGAAGGCUCCUUGCGGGGGGCUGCAGGAGGAGGCUGGGGGGGCUGAGAGCGCUGGAUGUUACAGCUGCAAGGAGACAUACAGGAAGGGUGGGGAGGGAGAGACGGGGCACAGACAGAGAGACGGGGCAGAGUCAGAGAGACAGGGCAGAGGGAGAGAGACAGGGCAGUCAGAGAGACAGGGCAGAGGGAGAGAGACGGGGCAGAGGGAGAGAGACAGGGCAGAGGGAGAGAGACAGGGCAGUCAGAGAGACAGGGCAGAGGGAGAGAGACAGGGCAGAGGGAGAGAGACAGGGCAGUCAGAGAGACAGGGAGAGAGACAGGGCAGAGGGAGAGAGAUGGGGCACAGUCAGAGAGACGGGGCACAGACAGAGAGACGGGGCAGAGUCAGAGAGACAGGGCAGAGGGAGAGAGACAGGGCAGUCAGAGAGACAGGGAGAGAGACAGGGCAGAGUCAGAGAGAUAGGGCACAGUCAGAGAGACGGGGCAGAGGGAGAGAGACAGGGCAGAGUCAGAGAGACAGGGCAGAGGGAGAGAGACAGGACAGAGUCAGAGAGACAGGGCAGAGGGAGAGAGACAGGACACAGUCAGAGAGACAGGGCAGAGGGAGAGAGAUGGGGCAGAGGGAGAGAGACAGGGCAGAGGGAGAGAGACAGGGCACAGGAAGAGAGACAGGACACAGUCAGAGAGACAGGGCAGAGUCAGAGAGACAGGGCACAGGAAGAGAGACAGGGCAGAGGGAGAGAGACAGGGCACAGUCAGAGAGACAGGGAGAGAGACAGGGCAGAGGGAGAGAGAUGGGGCACAGUCAGAGAGACAGGGCAGAGGGAGAGAGACGGGGCACAGUCAGAGAGACAGGGCACAGUCAGAGAGACAGGACACAGUCAGAGAGACAGGGCAGAGGGAGAGAAUGA
rnacentral:lncRNA from 1 species